GCGUGGCUUGUGGGGGCCUUCACGCGGGUCAUUCCCGUUCGCCUAUCAGCUUCCCAUCGCCACCGCGAUGCUGGUGCUCGUGUUGCUGGUCGCGUU
rnacentral:tRNA from 1 species